UCGAACGGCAGCGCGGGAGCAAUCCUGGCGGCGAGUGGCGAACGGGUGAGUAAUACAUCGGAACGUGCCCAAUCGUGGGGGAUAACGCAGCGAAAGCUGUGCUAAUACCGCAUACGAUCUACGGAUGAAAGCAGGGGACCGCAAGGCCUUGCGCGAAUGGAGCGGCCGAUGGCAGAUUAGGUAGUUGGUGAGGUAAAGGCUCACCAAGCCUUCGAUCUGUAGCUGGUCUGAGAGGACGACCAGCCACACUGGGACUGAGACACGGCCCAGACUCCUACGGGAGGCAGCAGUGGGGAAUUUUGGACAAUGGGCGCAAGCCUGAUCCAGCCAUGCCGCGUGCAGGAUGAAGGCCUUCGGGUUGUAAACUGCUUUUGUACGGAACGAAACGGCCUUUUCUAAUAAAGAGGGCUAAUGACGGUACCGUAAGAAUAAGCACCGGCUAACUACGUGCCAGCAGCCGCGGUAAUACGUAGGGUGCAAGCGUUAAUCGGAAUUACUGGGCGUAAAGCGUGCGCAGGCGGUGAUGUAAGACAGUUGUGAAAUCCCCGGGCUCAACCUGGGAACUGCAUCUGUGACUGCAUCGCUGGAGUACGGCAGAGGGGGAUGGAAUUCCGCGUGUAGCAGUGAAAUGCGUAGAUAUGCGGAGGAACACCGAUGGCGAAGGCAAUCCCCUGGGCCUGUACUGACGCUCAUGCACGAAAGC
rnacentral:rRNA from 2 species